AUUGAACGCUGGCGGAAUGCUUUACACAUGCAAGUCGGAACGGCAGCACGGGGGCAACCCUGGUGGCGAGUGGCGAACGGGUGAGUAAUGCAUCGGAACGUACCCAAUCGUGGGGGAUAACGUGGCGAAAGUCACGCUAAUACCGCAUACGUCCUGAGGGAGAAAGCAGGGGAUCGCAAGACCUUGCGCGAUUGGAGCGGCCGAUGUCUGAUUAGCUAGUUGGUGGGGUAAAAGCCUACCAAGGCGACGAUCAGUAGCUGGUCUGAGAGGAUGAUCAGCCACACUGGGACUGAGACACGGCCCAGACUCCUACGGGAGGCAGCAGUGGGGAAUUUUGGACAAUGGGCGAAAGCCUGAUCCAGCCAUUCCGCGUGAGUGAAGAAGGCCU
rnacentral:rRNA from 1 species